AAGACUUUUAGUUGCUAGCAACAGUGGAGGACUCUGGUUUUUUAGCUAGAUAGGAGGACUUGCUGUGUUGUGCCUUGUGGAAUAUCUUAUGUGGCUGGCCUUGCUUCCAGAUUAUGUUUUGACCUGUAUGGGUUCCCUGUGCUUCUCAGUGUACGCUGGUUGCUGAAAAUCAAAGAACCCAAGUCAACCCCUCGUUGGGGGUGAGUCAAUGAAGAGCAAAAACUUAAAUGUUGCCAGAAUGGAAACCGGUGGUCUUCUGAAAAGAGCUGUCCACGGCCCUUGGUGCUGAAGCAAAAUGGCUGGCUACUAGGUACCUGGAGAGGGAGAACAGCUUCAGAAGUAUGCAAUUUCCCAGCAGGCGACAGCACACACCCUUUCCCAAGCAACGUCCGAGCUGAAAGCCGCAUCUAACAAGACCAGCGUGCCGGAAGAAAAGAACUGGCCCUAAAGAGAGAGAACCAUGUCUUUGCUUUGCGUUGGAGAUUGCCUCGUAGAAUGCUGGAGACAAAGAAACCCUGCUGGGACCCUGCUCCCAAAAGAGUAAAGGGUCUGAGACCCUGGACAACUACACCACUGGCGCCCAUAUUAAUGGGCAGGCACCUCUAGGGAUUGAAGGAUCUGUCAGUUUUGGUGCUCUCGAUGUAUCAUUUUUUAAUCUUAAACUGGGCUCUCCACAUCUCUGCAGCCAUUUUUUUUUUAUCUUCAUGGAAACUCUUCCGCCUUUUGGAGUGAAUUUCUCCUAAUAAACAGAUUUUUGUAUGCA